AUCAAGAGAGCGGCUUAAGAAACAAAAAUUCAUUGUGUCGUGGUUCUAGAGGCGCUCCUUAUUGUUGGCCUUGGGAAGAUGUGUUUGGUUCCAUUGGGGAAUCCUCAGAGGAAAUGGAAGCCUGUUUUACUUGUUUGUUUUCACGGCCUUUGAAUAGCCUGGAUGCUUCUACAGUCAUGUGUGCCAGGAGUAGAGUGUGCGUCAUUGGUUUCCCUGGACUUUCUGGUCCUGUCCAAACCGCCAGUUCUGUUGAUUUGCCUUGGUGAAAACAUCCUCUCCAACUGAUAGCUUUUUCAUAACAUUAAAAGGCUGAUGGUGCAAAUUGGAACCAGAGUGGCUAAGAACAAAUAGAAGUAGGAGUGUGGCUGCCAGAUUAGAAGAGGAGAAGAAAGAAAACAAAAGUGGAAAUUGACUUCCUUGUUCUGAGCUGCCCCAUGGAGAGGCCAUGUGGCAAAGAAUUGAGGGUGGCCUCCAGCCAACAGCCAGCAAGGAACUGUGGCCUUCGGUGGGAGGAACAGAAUCCAACUAACAACCAUAUGACUGAGCUUGGAAGCAGAUGCUUCCCCGGUUGAGACCUGAGAUGACUAUAGACGCAGUUGACACCUUGAUUGCAGCCUAUGAAAGGCCCUAAAGCAGGGGACCCAGCUAAGCCAAGGCCAGGUUCCUGACCCAUAGGAACUGUGAGAUAAUAAAAUUUUUUUUUUGUAAACCA